GGUUGAUAAAAAUGAAAUUGUAUGAGGAAAGAAAAUGAACAAAGAAUGCACAAUCAGAAAUCCUUCUGCAAGAAAACAAUCUUAAAGAAUAGGGCUCUCUGAUCCCUUUUCAUAUCAGCCACAGAAAUUCAUCUAAAGAAAUUAUUAGGGGAGCACAAAAGAGAAGACUAAUACAAAUCUUAUCCCACAAUAUUUGUGGUGGCAAGUGUUGAUUUUUAAAGACUAUCAAAGC
rnacentral:misc_RNA from 1 species